rfam:Kockovaella imperatae strain NRRL Y-17943 BD324scaffold_29, whole genome shotgun sequence.
UGUUCCUUGGCUUAGUUGGUAAAGCGUUCGACUGUUAUUUGUACCGCAAUCGAAAGAUCGAGAGUUCAAUCCUCUCAGGAACAG